rnacentral:ribozyme from 1 species
UGUCGCAAGUUCGUGGCCACAGCAGAAGUGCUCAUGGCACAGCCCUGUCAGAUUCCAAUGAAUCUGUGAAUUCUGCU